rnacentral:rRNA from 1 species
CAGUCGCCGCGGUAAUACGAAGGGGGCUAGCGUUGCUCGGAAUGACUGGGCGUAAAGGGCGCGUAGGCGGCUCAUACAGUCAGGCGUGAAAGUCCUGGGCUCAACCUGGGGUGGUCGCUUGAGACGUGUGGGCUAGAGUGGGGAAGAGGGUCGUGGAAUUCCCAGUGUAGAGGUGAAAUUCGUAGAUAUUGGGAAGAACACCGGUGGCGAAGGCGGCGACCUGGUCCUUUUACUGACGCUGAGGCGCGAAAGCGUGGGGAGCAAACAGGAUUAGAUACCCCGGUAGUCCCUGUCUCUUAUU